rnacentral:misc_RNA from 1 species
GAGAAAGGUCACUCCGCCGCGUUAGGUAAAAAAUGAAGCACAACAAUGUUAUCCCUAGCGGCCACUUCAGGAAGCACUGGCAAAACUAUGUCAGGACCUGGUUCAACCAACCUGCCCGGAAAACUAGAAGAAGAAAUGCUCGUCAGGAGAAAGCUGUGAAGAACUUUCCCCGCCCAACUGCUGGUCCACUCCGUCCCAUCGUUCAUGGGCAAACAUUAAAGUACAACAUGAAAGUGAGGGCUGGUAGGGGCUUUUCUCUUGAGGAGUUGAAGGCUGCAGGUAUUCCCAAGAAGCUAGCACCA